UAACCAGAAAGCCACGGCUAACUACGUGCCAGCAGCCGCGGUAAUACGUAGGUGGCAAGCGUUGUCCGGAUUUAUUGGGCGUAAAGCGAGCGCAGGCGGUUUUGUAAGUCUGCUGUGAAAGCCCUCAGCUCAACUGAGGAAGUGCAGUGGAAACUACAAAACUUGAGUACAGAAGAGGAAAGUGGAACUCCAUGUGUAGCGGUGAAAUGCGUAGAUAUAUGGAAGAACACCAGUGGCGAAGGCGGCUUUCUGGUCUGUUACUGACGCUGAGGCUCGAAAGCAUGGGUAGCGAACAGGAUUAGAUACCCUGGUAGUCCAUGCCGUAAACGAUGAAUACUAGGUGUUGGAGGGUUUCCGCCCUUCAGUGCCGCAGCUAACGCAUUAAGUAUUCCGCCUGGGGAGUACGACCGCAAGGUUGAAACUCAAAGGAAUUGACGGGGGCCCGCACAAGUGGUGGAGCAUGUGGUUUAAUUCGAUGCUACGCGAAGAACCUUACCAGCUCUUGACAUCUUCUGCCAACCCAAGAGAUUGGGCGUUCCCUUCGGGGACAGAAUGACAGGUGGUGCAUGGUUGUCGUCAGCUCGUGUCGUGAGAUGUUGGGUUAAGUCCCGCAACGAGCGCAACCCUUAUUAUUAGUUGCCAGCAUUUAGUUGGGCACUCUAGUGAGACUGCCGGUGAUAAACCGGAGGAAGGUGGGGACGACGUCAAAUCAUCAUGCCCCUUAUGAGCUGGGCUACACACGUGCUACAAUGGAUGGUACAACGAGUCGCGAAACCGCGAGGUCAAGCUAAUCUCUUAAAGCCAUUCUCAGUUCGGAUUGCAGGCUGCAACUCGCCUGCAUGAAGUUGGAAUCACUAGUAAUCGUGGAUCAGCAUGCCACGGUGAAUACGUUCCCGGGCCUUGUACACACCGCCCGUCACACCAUGAGAGUUUGUAACACCCAAAAGACGAUGGGGUAACCUUUUAGGAGCUAGUCGUCUAAGGUGGGACAGAUGAUUAGGGGUGAAGUCGUACA
rnacentral:rRNA from 2 species